CCUACGGGCGGCAGCAGUGGGGGAUAUUGCACAAUGGGGGAAACCCUGAUGCAGCGACGCCGCGUGGGUGAAGAAGUAUUUCGGUAUGUAAAGCCCUAUCAGCAGGGAAGAAAGAAGACGGUACCUGACUAAGAAGCCCCGGCUAACUACGUGCCAGCAGCCGCGGUAAUACGUAGGGGGCGAGCGUUAUCCGGAUUCACUGGGUGUAAAGGGAGCGUAGACGGCCGUGCAAGCCAGGAGUGAAAGCCCGGGGCCCAACCCCGGGACUGCUCUUGGAACUGUGCGGCUGGAGUGCGGGAGGGGCAGGCGGAAUGCCUGGUGUAGCGGUGAAAUGCGUAGAUAUCAGGAGGAACACCGGCGGCGAAGGCGGCCUGCUGGACCGCGACUGACGUUGAGGCUCGAAAGCGUGGGGAGCGAACAGGAUUAGAUACCCGGGUAGUC
rnacentral:rRNA from 1 species